rnacentral:rRNA from 1 species
AGCUGGAGCAAUCUGGUGAGUAAAGUGGCGUACGGGUGAGUAACACGUGGAUUAUCUGCCUUUUUGUGGGGGAUAACCUGGGGAAACCUGGGCUAAUACCGCAUAAGCUCGAGAGAGGAAAGCCGUAAGGCGCAGAAAGAGGAGUCCGCGGUCGAUUAGCUAGUUGGUGAGGUAAGAGCUCACCAAGGCGACGAUCGAUAGCCGGCCUGAGAGGGCACACGGCCACACUGGCACUGAAACACGGGCCAGACUCCUACGGGAGGCAGCAGUGGGGAAUCUUGCACAAUGGGGGAAACCCUGAUGCAGCGACGCCGCGUGAGCGAUGAAGCCCUUCGGGGUGUAAAGCUCUUUCGACAGGAACGAUAAUGACGGUACCUGUGGAAGAAGCUGCGGCUAACUACGUGCCAGCAGCCGCGGUAAUACGUAGGCAGCAAGCGUUGUUCGGAGUUACUGGGCGUAAAGGGUGUGUAGGCGGUUCACUAAGUUCGGUGUGAAAUCUCCCGGCUUAACUGGGAGGGUGCAUUGAAAACUGGUGGGCUUGAGUAUGGGAGAGGUAAGCGGAAUUCCUGGUGUAGCGGUGAAAUGCGUAGAUAUCAGGAGGAACACCUGUGGUGUAGACAGCUUACUGGACCAUCACUGACGCUGAGACACGAAAGCGUGGGUAGCAAACAGGAUUAGAUACCCUGGUAGUCCACGCCCUAAACGAUGCAUACUUGGUGUGAGC